GGGUUGUGAGGUUAAGCGACUAAGCGUACACGGUGGAUGCCUUGGCAGUCAGAGGCGAUGAAGGACGUGCUAAUCUGCGAUAAGCGUCGGUAAGGUGAUAUGAACCGUUAUAACCGGCGAUUUCCGAAUGGGGAAACCCAGUGUGAUU
rnacentral:rRNA from 1 species